UACAGAGGGGGCAAGCGUUGUUCGGAAUUACUGGGCGUAAAGGGCGCGUAGGCGGCCUUCUAAGUCGAACGUGAAAUCCCCGGGCUCAACCCGGGAACUGCGUCCGAUACUGGAAGGCUUGAAUCCGGGAGAGGGAUGUGGAAUUCCAGGUGUAGCGGUGAAAUGCGCAGAUAUCAGGAGGAACACCAGCGGCGAAGGCGGCGCUCUGGGCCGGUACUGACACUGAGGAGCGAAAGCGUGGGUAGCAAACAGG
rnacentral:rRNA from 1 species